rnacentral:rRNA from 1 species
ACGCACGCUGGCGGCGUGCUUCACCCAUGCAAGUCGAACGGAAAGGCCCUGCUUGCAGGGUACUCGAGUGGCGAACGGGUGAGUAACACGUGGGUGAUCUGCCCUGCACUUCGGGAUAAGCCUGGGAAACUGGGUCUAAUACCGGAUAGGAGCCAUUUUUAGUGUGAUGGUUGGAAAGUUUUUUCGGUGUAGGAUGAGCUCGCGGCCUAUCAGCUUGUUGGUGGGGUAAUGGCCUACCAAGGCGGCGACGGGUAGCCGGCCUGAGAGGGUGGACGGCCACAUUGGGACUGAGAUACGGCCCAGACUCCUACGGGAGGCAGCAGUGGGGAAUAUUGCACAAGGGGCGCAAGCCUGAUGCAGCGACGCCGCGUGGGGGAUGACGGCCUUCGGGUUGUAAACUCCUUUCGCUAGGGACGAAGCUUUUUGUGACGGUACCUAGAUAAGAAGCACCGGCUAACUACGUG